rnacentral:tRNA from 1 species
GGAGAGGUCGCAUAGUGGUCUAGUGCGCUCGCCUCGAAAGCGAGUGUGGUGAUGAGCCACCGCGAGUUCGAAUCUCGCCCUCUCCG